rnacentral:rRNA from 1 species
CGUAGGUGAACCUGCGGAAGGAUCAUUACCGAGUGCGGGCUGCCUCCGGGCGCCCAACCUCCCACCCGUGACUACCUAACACUGUUGCUUCGGCGGGGAGCCCCCCAGGGGGCGAGCCGCCGGGGACCACUGAACUUCAUGCCUGAGAGUAAUGCAGUCUGAGUCUGAAUACAAAUCAGUCAAAACUUUCAACAAUGGAUCUCUUGGUUCCGGCAUCGAUGAAGAACGCAGCGAACUGCGAUAAGUAAUGUGAAUUGCAGAAUUCAGUGAAUCAUCGAGUCUUUGAACGCACAUUGCGCCCCCUGGCAUUCCGGGGGGCAUGCCUGUCCGAGCGUCAUUGCUGCCCUUCAAGCCCGGCUUGUGUGUUGGGUCGUCGUCCCCCCCGGGGGACGGACCCGAAAGGCAGCGGCGGCACCGUGUCCGGUCCUCGAGCGUAUGGGGCUUUGUCACCCGCUCGAUUAGGGCCGGCCGGGCGCCAGCCGGCGUCUCCAACCUUAUUUUUCUCAGGUUGACCUCGGAUCAGGUAGGGAUACCCGCUGAACUUAAGCAUAUCAAUAAGCGGAGGAAAAGAAACCAACCGGGAUUGCCUCAGUA